CCUACGGGUGGCAGCAGUGAGGAAUAUUGGUCAAUGGACGAGAGUCUGAACCAGCCAAGUAGCGUGAAGGAUGACUGCCCUAUGGGGUGUAAACUUCUUUUAUAUGGGAAUAAAACAGGGUAUGCAUACCCUCUUGUAUGUACCAUAUGAAUAAUGAUCGGCUAACUCCGUGCCAGCAGCCGCGGUAAUACGGAGGAUCCAAGCGUUAUCCGGAUUUAUUGGGUUUAAGGGGAGCGUAGGUGGCUUGUUAAUUCAGUUGUGAAAGUUUGCGGCUAACAGGUAAAAGUGCAGUUGAAACUGGCAGUCUUGAGUACAGUAGAGGUGGGCGGAAUUCGUGGUGUAGCGGUGAAAUGCUUAGAUAGCACGAAGAACUCCGAUUGCGAAGGCAGCUCACUGGACUGCAACUGACACUGAUGCUCGAAAGUGUGGGUAUCAAACAGGAUUAGAUACCCCGGUAGUC
rnacentral:rRNA from 1 species